rnacentral:rRNA from 1 species
GACGAACGCUGGCGGCGUGCUUAACACAUGCAAGUCGAACGGAAAGGCCCUGCUUUUGUGGGGUGCUCGAGUGGCGAACGGGUGAGUAACACGUGAGUAACCUGCCCUUGACUUUGGGAUAACUUCAGGAAACUGGGGCUAAUACCGGAUAGGAGCUCCUGCUGCAUGGUGGGGGUUGGAAAGUUUCGGCGGUGGGGGAUGGACUCGCGGCUUAUCAGCUUGUUGGUGGGGUAGUGGCUGACCAAGGCUUUGACGGGUAGCCGGCCUGAGAGGGUGACCGGCCACAUUGGGACUGAGAGACGGCCCAGACUCCUACGGGAGGCAGCAGUGGGGAAUAUUGCACAAUGGGCGGAAGCCUGAUGCAGCAACGCCGCGUGCAGGAUGACGGCCUUCGGGGUGUAAACCGCUUUCGCCUGUGACGAAGCGUGAGUGACGGUAAUGGGUAAAGAAGCACCGGCUAACUACGUG